rnacentral:rRNA from 1 species
GAUGAACGCUGGCGGCGUGCUUAACACAUGCAAGUCGAACGGGAUCCACCAGGCUUUGCUUGGUGGUGAGAGUGGCGAACGGGUGAGUAAUGCGUGACCGACCUGCCCCAUACACCGGAAUAGCUCCUGGAAACGGGUGGUAAUGCCGGAUGCUCCGACUCCUCGCAUGGGGUGUCGGGAAAGAUUUCAUCGGUAUGGGAUGGGGUCGCGUCCUAUCAGGUAGUCGGCGGGGUAACGGCCCACCGAGCCUACGACGGGUAGCCGGCCUGAGAGGGCGACCGGCCACAUUGGGACUGAGAUACGGCCCAGACUCCUACGGGAGGCAGCAGUGGGGAAUAUUGCACAAUGGGCGCAAGCCUGAUGCAGCGACGCCGCGUGCGGGAUGACGGCCUUCGGGUUGUAAACCGCUUUUGAUCGGGAGCAAGCCUUCGGGUGAGUGUAC